rnacentral:lncRNA from 1 species
UUAUAGUUCGUUUUUGUACGUCAUAAAAUAUGAUUUUUGUACUAGUGAAUGUAAAAUUUUUUAACCUAGUGUUCCUUCUUUCUUGCGCGAAAAUUUAUGUUUCCUUCUUCUUUCUCGUGCAACCAUUCUCUCUCAAGCGAAGCUGUUAGAUCGUGGUCUCCAUUUAUCUCGCACGAAGUGCUUAGUGUUGUCUCCAUCUUCAUCGAUUCUAUUUUUGUCGUGCUAACGUUGUUGCCUCCAUUUCUCUCACGUGAAUUGUAAUGUUCGUUGUUGUCACCGACCAUUUGUCACUACCACCGACUGUUCAUUGCCGUCUUCGACAGUUUGUCAUCACUAUUGAUCGUUUGUCGCUGCCUCCAACUUAGGGAUGACA